rnacentral:rRNA from 1 species
AUGGAUAGACAGCGCCCCCCGCCCACGCUCCUGCGGCGCGCUACUCCGGCGGCCGCAGCCACUAGCGCUGCCGCGGCUGACCUCCUCCCUCUCCGGUCAAGCCCCUCCUCCUCUUCGCCCCGGUUCCCUCCGGGCUUCCCCACCCCGGGUCUGGCGCGCGAGCGCCUCAUGCCAGUGCUGUUCCCACAGCUGGGUGCUUCCGGCCCAGAUCUGGUCUCCACGCCGCGGCGGCCUGCCUCCUCGGGCUCCUCCACCCCGGAGGAUCCGGCUGCAGUUACUGCCCCAACAUCGUCAGGUCCCAUCCGUAGGGUUCGGUUUGCUGACGCUGAAGAUCUCCUGCUCCAUCCUCCUCUGCCGAGCAUUCAGGGCGCUCCCAAGCCUUGCCUCAAGUCGAGGUCGUCCCGGGCCUUCAAUGCUGCGCAGAUGGAGUCGAGGGCUGCUGCUUCCUCGAGCCCCGAGCUGCCGCAGGCGCCUUCACUCGAGCCGCUGGUUGUGGAUUCCAGCUCGGGGGCGGAGUGGCACCUAGUUAAGGCGCCGUACUGGUGGAGAGCUCUCUCGCCCACCCACCGCAAUUCAAGACGACGGUACUCGCCUUCUUAUUCCCCUCCAGCCAGAGGGGCCUUCGUCAAGCACAAACAUAGAGCUUGCCACAGAUGCCUGGAGAAAGGCCACAGCAAGAUUGACUGUCGAGACCCAUACAAAUGCCUACUCUGUAGAAGAAGCGGCCACCGUGCGCGGCAGUGCUCCAGCGCCUCGCCUCCAUCAUCUUCGCUCGUCUGCAGCCCGUCUCCCUCAAAUCUGCCGGUCGCCCCACCAGCUUCCUCAACUUCCUGUGGCUCUGCUGCCCCGGGCCAACCGACCUCCGCGCCCCUACUGCUCGGGAACGAGAUGCCACGGGUCGGGGAUCCCUCGCUGCGCCCAUCGGAGGGCCAUGUGGUCAUCACCUCCACGCCGGCCAUGGACGCCCAGGCAGCCAGCCUCGCCAAUCUUGCGGCUGUUGCCUGGCUCGGCGGAAACCGCCCAUCGGUCAGCGCCUCCGUCAUCAGGGACGCGGUCGCCACUUCCGCCGGCAUCGACCGCGCCUAUGUCAAGGUGGUGCCUUUCUAUCCGGAAGAUUUUCUCGUCAGAUUCGACUACCAGCAUCACCGAGACUUGGCGACGGCCGGCUCAGGCCGCUUCUCCCACUACAGCUCCGACUUCGGCAACCUAGACAUCCACAUUGCCAAGUGGAGACUCAACGCCCACGCCGAGGUAGUUCAAGUUGACUUCCACGUCCACAUCUGCCUCGAAAAUGUCCCGCUCAACGCCUGGAACGACGCCGUUGCUGCUCAGGUGUUGGGGCCGGAUACCUUCCUCCACUACUUCGACAUCGCCUCCGUGCAGUGUGAGGACGCCGCCACACUCAACCUGUGGGCUUGGUCAGCAGAUCCUAGCAAGAUACCCAAAGUGCUGCAGGCCACCUUCACCAACAACCAGCCACCAGGAAGCAGCGCUCCGAACCCCGCUGUCGGGCGCCAGGGGCUCAAGCGGCGUGUCCUGGUCCACCUAGACCUGAUCGAGGACUACACCCCUGGCGCGGACGGCAAGGUCCCCCGACGCCCACGCACGCACCCUCCUUUCACCUGGAGACUUGGAGUUGUGGACGGCGAGUCCCGUACACGCGACCGGCAGGAUGAGGGCAACCGUCGAGAGCGACGCAACGACGACCGCGACAGAGACGACGAGCAUGAUGGGCGUGGAAGGCGCAACGAUCGUCAGGAGUCCUCCUGGCGUGGCUUGUUUCGGAGCCGUUCCAGGGCUCCUCGACAUGAUGAUGAUCGCAGCAGGGGGCCACGUGAAGACCGGCGCCAUGACGACCACGACUCCAGGGGCCGCUAUGACAGCGGCAGGAGGCGCGGCUUGGAGCCUCUGUCGCCGGACGCCCGGAAGGUUGACAACGCACGUGUCCAGCGCCUUCCUGAUGGGGCAGUGAUCCCGGCCUCGGGCAGGCGGGCCCAGCACCGGGCGGCCUGUCCAGAGCGGCGCUCGCGAUCGUGCGAGGUGGCCACCGUCCAGCGCAGCGAGGACAACCGAGGAAGAUCGCCGCCACCCUCACCGCGGACCACUUCCAGUGACAUCAUCGAGCUGAGGCCGUCGUCACUGAUCCCUGACUGGCUCCGGCGGGCAGCUCCGUGCCUGGGCUCCCCGGUGACUCCAGAAGCACCUCCAGGCUGGGCUUCUCCAGUGCGGCAGCGGCACUGUGCUGGCUCCCUGCCUCCCAGUCCCAGCACACCGCUCCAUGUUCCUGCCCUGACAGGCUGCACGGUGGAAAACCAGAUAGAGAUGGGCCCUGUGCCUGCGGUUUCGCUGGUGCAGGGUGAGGCUGCUGGCACCCCCCUCUUUGUGCCACUGCCUCCCGCCAUUCUCUCGACGCCCAACUCCACCCCGCCGAGACCGCCAACAACCAGAAGGAAGACUCUUGCGGGUGUGACAGGUCUGAACCUGAUUCGUAGCAGCCCAAGACUGCAGGCAAAGAACAGAGAAAUGCCAAUCGCCCAGCUAGCUGAGAGGUUGCUUUGCCAGCGCAUGGGAGUGGUGGAAGAGGGUGAGAUGAUCACUGAGGCUGCUAUCAACAAGUACGUGGCCCUCUUUCGUGGGCAGCUACCAGACAUCGCCAUUGCUGCUCUCCUAGCACUAUUUAGGCUGGAUUGUGACCUUGCCGCAGCAGUCGAAGACGCUCUGCUGGACCACGGUGGAGAUGCUGGCCUGGAGCCCCAAGACCACGGCCCUGCCGAGGCAACUGCUUCUGCUUCUGCCUGA